GCCAACGUAGCUCAGCUGGUAGAGCAACGCUUUCGUAAAGCGUAGGUCACCGGUUCGAUUCCGGUCGUUGGCU
rnacentral:tRNA from 1 species